UGUGUUUUCCAUAAUAAUAACAAGCCCACAUGAACUGUCUCCCACUCCAUGUUUGGCUUAACUAGUUAGAGAUGGGUACCAUGUCACCAUGUUUACCAAUCUUGCAUACUUUUUAAUGAUGGAAGAAUGUGAGAGAUGGUUGGACGGUUUUCUCUUGCUUAUUAUGAAUGUGGAGAUUAGAAAGGGAUGUGCACUAUAUUAUUAGUUUUAUUUUCCAAUGGAAAAAAUAAAUUAAAGUAGGUACAAAACAAAAUUGGAGUUUCAAAGAGUUAUGAUUUAUCAACAAGAAUUGGGAUCUUUGCUUAACUAGAAAGUUGAUGUGAAGUGUUCUUGGACCUACUUCUCUGUAUUAGUACAAUAAGCACUUCCAAUAAUGCAUUGUCGGCGAUGGGGGACAGAAGUUAGGUCACCCAUAAUUGAUGAUCAACUUAUAAUUAAACUAAAAUAAAUAAUCACAAGGAAAUUAAAUAACGCUGAAUUAAGGGUGAUCUCUGCAGCCCCUGCCUCCUUAAAAUUAUAAAUGUGACAACAAUUUAAAGAGAUAUAUAAUAUUUUUACUUUAAAUUUUUUUAAGUCCCUUCCAAAAGAAAGGUGGUUUAAAACUAACUUUAAUUAGUCUAAAAUCACCUUAGCUUCC
rnacentral:lncRNA from 1 species